AACGAACGCUGGCGGCAUGCCUAACACAUGCAAGUCGAACGAGACCUUCGGGUCUAGUGGCGCACGGGUGCGUAACGCGUGGGAACCUGCCCUUAGGUUCGGAAUAACUCCCCGAAAGGGGUGCUAAUACCGGAUAAUGUCUUCGGACCAAAGAUUUAUCGCCUUUGGAUGGGCCCGAGUUGGAUUAGCUAGUUGGUAGGGUAAAAGCCUACCAAGGCGACGAUCCAUAGCUGGUCUGGGAGGAUGAUCAGCCACACUGGGACUGAGACACGGCCCAGACUCCUACGGGAGGCAGCAGUGGGGAAUAUUGGACAAUGGGCGAAAGCCUGAUCCAGCAAUGCCGCGUGAGUGAUGAAGGCCUUAGGGUUGUAAAGCUCUUUUACCCGGGAUGAUAAUGACAGUACCGGGAGAAUAAGCUCCGGCUAACUCCGUG
rnacentral:rRNA from 1 species